GUAGGGGGCAAGCGUUAUCCGGAUUUACUGGGUGUAAAGGGAGCGCAGGCGGUGCGGCAAGUCUGAUGUGAAAGCCCGGGGCUCAACCCCGGGACUGCAUUGGAAACUGCCCGUCUUGAGUGCCGGAGAGGUAAGCGGAAUUCCUAGUGUAGCGGUGAAAUGCGUAGAUAUUAGGAGGAACACCAGUGGCGAAGGCGACUUACUGGACUGAAACUGACGUUGAGGCACGAAAGCGUGGGGAGCAAACAGGACUAGAUACCCUGGUAGUCCACACUGUAAACGAUGAUUGCUAGGUGUGGGGGGUCUGACCCCCUCCGUGCCGGAGUUAACGCAAUAAGCAAUCCACCUGGGGAGU
rnacentral:rRNA from 1 species